rnacentral:rRNA from 1 species
UUUAUUUCGGUAGAAUUCUUAGUGGCGAACGGGUGAGUAACGCGUAGGCAACCUGCCCUUUAGACGGGGACAACAUUCCGAAAGGAGUGCUAAUACCGGAUGUGAUCAUCGUGCCGCAUGGCAGGAUGAAGAAAGAUGGCCUCUACAAGUAAGCUAUCGCUAAAGGAUGGGCCUGCGUCUGAUUAGCUAGUUGGUAGUGUAACGGACUACCAAGGCGAUGAUCAGUAGCCGGUCUGAGAGGAUUAACGGCCACAUUGGGACUGAGACACGGCCCAAACUCCUACGGGAGGCAGCAGUGGGGAAUCUUCCGCAAUGGACGAAAGUCUGACGGAGCAACGCCGCGUGAGUGAUGAAGGAUUUCGGUCUGUAAAGCUCUGUUGUUUAUGACGAACGUGCAGUGUGUGAACAAUGCAUUGCAAUGACGGUAGUAAACGAGGAAGCCACGGCUAACUACGUGCCAGCAGCCGCGGUAAUACGUAGGUGGCGAGCGUUGUCCGGAAUUAUUGGGCGUAAAGAGCAUGUAGGCGGCUUAAUAAGUCGAGCGUGAAAAUGCGGGGCUCAACCCCGUAUGGCGCUGGAAACUGUUAGGCUUGAGUGCAGGAGAGGAAAGGGGAAUUCCCAGUGUAGCGGUGAAAUGCGUAGAUAUUGGGAGGAACACCAGUGGCGAAGGCGCCUUUCUGGACUGUGUC